GAUGAACGCUGGCGGCGUGCCUAAUACAUGCAAGUCGAGCGAACAGACGAGGAGCUUGCUCCUCUGACGUUAGCGGCGGACGGGUGAGUAACACGUGGAUAACCUACCUAUAAGACUGGGAUAACUUCGGGAAACCGGAGCUAAUACCGGAUAAUAUAUUGAACCGCAUGGUUCAAUAGUGAAAGACGGUUUUGCUGUCACUUAUAGAUGGAUACGGGCCGCAUUAGCUAGUUGGUAAGGUAACGGCUUACCAAGGCGACGAGGCGUAGCCGACCGGAGAGGGGGAUCGGCCACAUGGGAGCGGAGCCACGGACCAGACUCCUACGGGAGGCAGCAGUAUGGAAUCGGACGCAGUGGGCGAAAGUCUUACGGAGCAACGCGGCGUGAGAUAUGAAGGCGUUCGGAGCGUAAAGCCCUGUUAUUAGGGAAGAACAAAUGUGUAAGUAACCAUGCACGUCGUGACGGUACCUAAUCAGAAAGCCACGGCUAACUACGUG
rnacentral:rRNA from 1 species